UACGUAGGUGGCAAGCGUUGUCCGGAAUUACUGGGUGUAAAGCGCGUGUAGGCGGUAGGCCAAGUCUGCUGUGAAAUCGCUCGGCUCAACUGGGCGGGGUCGGUGGAAACUGGUCACCUGGAGGACGGUAGAGGCGAGUGGAAUUCCCGGUGUAGUGGUGAAAUGCGUAGAGAUCGGGAGGAACACCAGUGGCGAAGGCGGUUGCCUGGAGCUUUGCUGACGCUGAUGCGCGAAAGCGUGGGGAGCGAUCCGG
rnacentral:rRNA from 1 species